UCCGUAGGUGGAUAAUUAAGUCAGAGGUGAAAUCCUGCAGCUCAACUGUAGAAUUGCCUUUGAUACUGGUUAUCUUGAGUUAUUAUGAAGUAGUUAGAAUAUGUAGUGUAGCGGUGAAAUGCAUAGAUAUUACAUAGAAUACCAAUUGCGAAGGCAGAUUACUAAUAAUGAACUGACACUGAUGGACGAAAGCGUGGGGAGCGAACAGGAUUAGAUACCCUGGUAGUCC
rnacentral:rRNA from 1 species